rnacentral:rRNA from 1 species
GACGAACGCUGGCGGCGUGCCUAACACAUGCAAGUCGAACGGAGUAGAGACUUCGGUUUUUACUUAGUGGCGAACGGGUGAGUAACGCGUGAGAAACCUGCCUUUCAGUGGGGGACAACAGUUGGAAACGACUGCUAAUACCGCAUAACGCAGCUAGACCGCAUGGUCUUACUGCCAAAGCUUUAUGUGCUGAAAGAUGGUCUCGCGUCUGAUUAGCUAGUUGGUGAGGUAACGGCUCACCAAGACCGCGAUCGGUAGCCGGACUGAGAGGUUGAACGGCCACAUUGGGACUGAGACACGGCCCAGACUCCUACGGGAGGCAGCAGUGGGGGAUAUUGCGCAAUGGGGGCAACCCUGACGCAGCAACGCCGCGUGAAGGAUGAAGGUUUUCGAAUUGUAAACUUCUUUUCUCAGGGACGAAAUUUGACGUACCUGAGAAUAAGCUCCGGCUAACUACGUGCCAGCAGCCG